AGCUUUAUUUGGAAUUCACGUCUUAAUGCAAUUGAAAAUAUUAUCUAUUAAAUGUCAAACUUCUACCAAUAGUGCAAAUAAAUACAAUCAUGUUCAAUCAAUUAGAGAAUGCUUUGAGACUCGUUUGUCAUAAUAAAAGUACCUUUUGAAAAUAACAACCUUUAAGCAGGUAUUAAACAUACUUUUUAUUAAGCCUACAUUUCUGUAUUAAGAAGUUUUUUUAAUGGUCUGAUGUACCAACUGUAAAUGUAAGUGGAAGAUCAUCAUAUUUACCAAAAAAUAAAGGCUUGCAAACAUCAGUCAAUGUGUAAUUAAUCUAUUUCCCUUAAUGACAGGAGUUAGUGAAACACAUUUACCUUUCAAUGAUAUUCUAAUUAAUUAGAUGGGUCUGUUUAUGUAAGGGGUUUUUCCCUCUGUAAUGUUACAACACAUCCAUGCAUUAGUUGACAGUUAAUCUUCCCAUUUAUUUUUCUUUUGUCUUCCAAAAGAUGACACGUCAUGGCACAUUGGAUUUAUCUAUUACAACUGCUGGGUAUGUUGCUACAUAUAUGCUUUGGUUUAUUGUAUGUGAUUUUUAAUUUCAAAGUUUGAUCCUUUUUUCUAAAUUCCUGUCUAUGUUAUUUUCUGCUCCAUUUGGAAAAAAAAAAAAGCAACAAUGAAAAGAAAUUAUCCAGAAAUGCCACUGUUGUUUUUUAUUGUACAUUUCUUUGUUGAUUUUUCUUUAAGUAUUCGUUUUUACAUUAUUUGAACAAUUUACAGUUUGAUAAGGAACUGAAUGUGAAAAGAAAUAACUAACAUCUGACUGUAUGUUUCUACUUUUAGCAACCUUCCAGAUGCUAGUUUCUUCAACAAAGAAUGAUUUAAAAAUUGGGCCCCUUAACACAUGCCCUAAUAAAUGGAUCAUCACAUGUGUAAAUGCCAAGGCUAUUUUGACAUGCUUUAUGGAUAAGAACAAAAUCAAACUGAAAGUCAAGGAGCUGCCAUGGAACUGUGCUGAUGAAGAUGCCAGGACAUACCUUAAUAUUACAUUCAACAAUAUAAAUAAAGAAAUUGGUAUGUUCUACAAGCUACAGCUGUAUUUUGCUAUCUCUGAACUACAGCUGAAACCAGGUGUUUACAUACUCUGUAUACACAGAAAAUUUUUUCUCCUCACUGUCUGACAUCAGAUCAGUCCAGACUUUUCCUGUUUUAGAUAAAUUAGGAUUACCCAUUUUUUUUCUAAUUCUGUUUGAUAAAAUGGCCGCAUAGUUAUUCUAGAGAAUAUGUCUCCUAAAAUAUAUCCACACUUGUGGCAACAUUUCAAACACACUGCUUCCUUGUGUGGCAUCAUUAGAAAAUUUAGAGGAAUCAGAAAGAGAACUGUGGACCUUCACCAGUCUGGUUCUGCCUUGGCUCCAAUCAGAUGCCCAAAUGAGCCACGUUCAUCUGCUCAAACAAGUAUACUCAAAUAAAAACAGCAGGGGAAACGUAUUGUUCUGGACGUUAUAUUCAAAAAUUUAUGUUAGCAUGUUUUGACUUUUUGGGCUAUUCUGUGGAUUUCUUUAAAGAAUACUAUGCUCAAUCAGUUUUAUUGUACGUUUAUACCAUAAAAUUAAAGAAGUGUAAAGGAGUUUUAACAGUUUCUGCUGACAUUGUCCUUUUCUAUCUGGUUACAACUGUAUCUCUAGAUGUCAAUAUAAAAAGUAGAAAAGUCGCAAACAGUUAAAUGAUAAAUACUUAAAUUCUUAGCAUCAAAAUUGCUUAUUUUUCAUGACAAACUACUCUGAUAUUUACACCUAAAACAGUGAAGAUAUGAUUAGAAUGAAUAAUGUGACUGAUACUGAUUUUCUUUACAAGAAUUACAGGAUCUAGAUCUGUCUCAGAAAUUCACUUUGUGCAAAAAAUGUCAACAGAAGGGAGGUCCUUCGCAGACUAACAGCAACAAUCAGGACUGUAAAGAAAAGUAAUUGUUUUUUUUUGUAACCUAAUUUUUUACAUGUUUUUAAUGAGCAUGUUUCUGUCAUUUAAUGUACAACACAUUUUUCUUUCCUUGGUUACUACUCAGUGUGAAAAUGUCAGACCUUUCAGCUGCUUCAGAAGUAGUUGUACAAUGUAACGGCAAUAAUGAGCUACAAGUCAUUGGUGUGGAUCAUGAAACAGACAACCCUCUGAUGUUUCACAAUGAAAGUAAAAGUUGGAUAAAAGCCUUGCAGCACUGCCACAAUUUCAAUUCCACUCUGGCUCAAAUCAACAACCUGACAUUGGAAGUGGAGGUGACGAGUUUUCUAGAAGAAAAGACAGAAUAUCAGAACGGGGUCUGGAUCGGAUUGGAACGGUCCAUCUUUGGCACCGACAUAGAGUGGAAGUGGAUAUCAGGGAUUAGUGAUGUAUACCUCACAUGGAACAGCAGCUUUCCAGUUGACCCCCUGAACAACCACUGUGGAAAGAUUAUCUGGCUUAAAGAGUCACAAAAUAUCCAGCUGCUGGAUGGCAACUGCCAUGAAAAACUACCUUUUAUCUGCCAAGGUAAGCUGUGCAUGUAUUUGAGUUCAGUCAGCCAUGAGGCGAUAUCAAACUGUUUUGUAAUGAAAGGUCUUCCUAAUUUGAUGUCUACAGUUAUUUUCUAACAAUAAGAAGUAUGAUAAUCAUGCUCUCUAUUGUCUCUCAAUUCCUCAGGUGUAAAGUAAACACCGUGUGGCGCUAGAAAACGACACUAUACAUCGAUUGUCUUCGUUUUUCUUACCAAAGGAAUUUUAAUAACUAAUGUUUUUCUCCCUUUUCAAUUGCCAUUUCUGAUGGCUAUUUUCUAGUCUUCUGAAAGACACUUUAAUUUACAUAAAUAAAUCACCAAACUUCAGAAGCUCUGUUUUAUUUUUUUAUAUGUUAUAAUUUUAUCUACUUUUAAUCAUAUUUCAAGUAUGUGUAAUUUUUUUGGGUACUAUUGCAUAUUUCAUUUUUAAUCUGUUUUUUUACUAUUCUGUAUUCUAUUUCGUUUGAUUCUUUGUUAUGGUUUAUUCUUCUUCUAUUUGUCUAGAGCUUAAAUAAAUGAUCUGACAUUCAUUUGUUCAUGUUUUGCGAAGUUGAAACCGAAUAUUUUCUUACACUGUAUAAAAAGACAUUCUUUUCCCCCGUCGGAUGUUCAAACAGAACAAACUUGUCCUGUUUUCAAGAUUGCCAUUUUUUUUUUUUUGCUAAAUGAUCAAAUAAUAAGGGAGAAAUUUGUGUUAUGACCUUCUUCAAAUUCAGACGUUUAGAGCAAAAUGACACCUUUAAACAAUUUGGGAUAGCCCUGAUAAUGUCAUGGUAUUGUUAGCUUCUGCUAGGUUAUUUCACAACAUUUGAGUUAAAUGGCGACAUGUGGAUGUUUUUUAUGGCAACAAAAUGCUUCCUUGUGUGACUUCAUAAAAAAACCAGAAGGACCCAGGUUAGAUAUCAGGAAGAGAAUUGUGAACCUCUACAGCUCUGUUUCAUCCUCGCGUUGACUCGUUGUCCAUUUAGAAGACUCAUUGGUGCCCAAGCUUAGUUGUGGCUGAAGUAUUGAUAUGCUGCUUCAAUAUUUCUACUUAAUGCUCUUUCCUCACGGUGACAUCUAAAAUGUGAGGUGGUCCAGUCCCUCCGGCAGUAGAGCACGCCCAAAACAUGACGCGGCCAUUUGUACUUUACUUCACGGUUGGGAUAUUCUGCUUGUAAGCCUCCCCUUUUAUCCUCAAAAUGUAACAAUGAUUAAUAUGGCCUAGCACAUCAAGUUUAGCUCCAUCAGACCACACGACAUUUCUCCAGAAUGAAGGUAUUUCUCUCUGAAUACAUUUUCACAAACUGUAAUCUGGAUUUUUAUGUUGAUUAGGAGUAAUGGCUUCUUCCUCUGAGUUGCCUCUCAGCCUAUGAAGAGACAUAUUUCACUGUAUAUAAUGACUUUCUCCUACCAGCUGUAGCCAGCAUCUAUACAAGUUCUGUUUGUUUUAAACACAUUUAUAUCUGUGGCACAGAAUCCAUGACCAUGGCACCUUCAGGGAGACGUGAGGGAGUCCACAAUUCCUCUUGCGGAUACCUUGGCUUAUUUAACCGUAUUUUCUAUGAUGUCACACAAGGAAGCAGUUUCUUUGAGAUGCUGCUUUAAAAUACACCCACAGGUGUGCCUUCAUUUAACUUGGAUGUUGUCAAUUAACCAACCAGACAAAGUUACAAAGUUAUGGCAACAUCAUCUGAGCGUUCUCAAAU